AGGCCACAACCUCGUGCCUCUCUCCCCACGACCACGGAAACCUAAUCCAUCUCCACCCACAGCCGCCGGCUCCUCCCCCUCUCUGUUCCCGAUUCAGAUCCAUGCCCAGCCUCCGUCCCCGCGCGGCUGCCACCCCCUCGAUCUCCCGCGCCGCCGUCCCAACCAUCUCCCGCUCCACCUCCGUCUCUCACCCUCUAUCGCUCCUUCACCGCCCCCACCCUCUUCCCCUGUGCAGCCUACUCAGAUCCGAGAUGGGGGCACACGCGGCCGUAGCGUCGCUCCCGCCUCCACGUCAAGGUCAGUCCCCUGCUCGUCGUCAUGGGCGCGGUGGUCAUGAGGAAGGUGGUUGAGGUCGGCGAGAUGAACGUUGUCGCCUACCCGCUGGCCAGGACCAAGGACGGCUGCCCCGGCGCUCCGUCUUCUUCACAAUCUCGCGCUGGGAAAGGAGGGCGUGGCCACUGUUUUCUUCGGCACUCCUUGGCCUUUUUCGCAUCGCCACUGGUGACCUUGUCGGACCACUUGCUGUGAAGGUGGAGGAGAUAGCUGAAGUCGAGGGUGUUGUUGAUGACAUAAAAGGUGUUGAUAAAAUAGAGCCUUGUGAAGAACAGAGGAUACAAUAUAGAAACGUCAGUCGAAACUACUUCUGUAGUACAAAAUAAUUAGCUAGCACUACAAACUAUGCACCCUUCUUUGUCCUGAUGUUCCUAUCCUUGAAGGAUGUUGCCUCACACAUGACAGUAGCUGCACGGCCUAUGAACGAUGUUCCCUCCCCAACAACGCCUUUGUGAGCAUGCUCGUUGUUGGCGCUGUCAUGGCAGAAUCGUGCAAGCAUCGGCCAUGCAACUGUCGUGUGUAUAGCAGUGCUGAUCCUUAAAUAUCUUUGUUGUGCUUUUUGCAUCGUCUUAGUGUGUGUGCGCUUGUUUCCAUUUUUUACUUAAUUUAUUGCUUGUUGCAACACCUAGUUCCUCCUAGUUUGAUAGAGUUGUUUGUUUUGUUCACGGUGGAUGCAUGAUAUGUAAAAUCUCAAAUGGUAUUUAUAGUUACAUGUCUAUUUUGACAAAAUGCUGAUUGCUAACAUUUACUCUGCGUACCAAUUACUUUCUACCAUUCCUGAUUAUUCUGUACUGCUAUGUACCUUAUAUGAGAAAACACCACCCACUCUGUACUCUGCCAAUCAGUUUUCUAGUUUUCUUGGAAGAAAAUAACCAUUACUUGAAAACCAGCUAUGAGAUAGACUAGAUCAUUUAAGCUUGGUUGAUAGAUAAAAUUCGGUUCAUGUGCUGGGACAAGUGUACAUUUUUUUGUUCAGUGAAGAGUGUUUGUGCUGUUGGUGGUGACCUCCUCUGCCGCGCGCUGGCGGUGGCUGACUUGCACUGCGACCCUGGCCAUUGAGCUGAACCUGAUCCUGGUCCAUGGUUAGUUAGGGUGUUGGUGCUGUUUGGGCUCGAUUAGCUCAAUUCGAUGUUGUUUUAGGCUUGAGAAAAGUUGUUCUCUUGUUGAAAUGAGAGGGAUAAGGUAGGUGCUGCAGCUUUUGGCAAUCAUGUAUAUGCAAUUGUAGGCAACCAGAGAAUAUGUGUUGCAUUUGUAUGUCCUCAUGUUUAAAAUUUGUGUCUGGAAGUUAUUACUGGAUCUACUAUCCCAAUAAUUUUUUAUUUCCUAAAUUUCAUGGUAAAUCUGGAAGUUGCAUUGCAUAUAUGUGUAUUACGCCAUACUAGUAAACUUCUAAAAGCAAGUGGAGCUGAACCUUUAUAAUGCACUCUGCAUUCUGCAGAUUAUGCCAUACUUAUUUGCAUGUCAUGUUAUAUGAACAGGCACUGUGGUUGUGAUUGUUAUGCUGGGAACGAUGUUCCUCAUGGUCCCAGUAAUGCUGCUAGUAUGGAAGAGGCACUGGAUCCUUGUUGUCACAUUCCUUGAGCUCUUGUUGAUGGAGGAUAAAUGGAAAUAAGUGAUCAUCUAGUGGAGACACGGUAAGUUACAACCUCUUUGCUCUUCCUGUUCGUAAUAAGAAUGAAUUCUUACUCUAGUGUCCCAUUUACUUGUAGCUUUUAAAUUUUUGAUACACAAUAUAUAUGAUGCUUCCAUGCUUUUCAAGAUUUUUGCAAUAUUGUUUUUCUCUAUAUUGCACCCAGAACUGAAUGUUUGAUUGGAUUAGGCAGGUAACAUUGUGAGUAGGCCUUCUGGCCUGUUUACUUUUUGAUUGGACCAGGCGUUCAUGUAAACAUGAUAGCUCCAACUCUUGUUUCAAGAGUGAGUAGUACGCUGAAACUGCAUUUUAGUAAAUAGGGGUUACUUCUCAAAUCUAAGAAAUUUAAAACCAAUCCUCAUUGCUGACCGGCGGUGUAUAUACAAUAAUGGUAUAUGAAGAUGAACUUGGCAAAAACUCAGCUUUUACCUCCGAAAUAUAUGUACAGAAUUUCCAGAUCUAAUUUGAAAUGUCAAUUAGGAAAUGCUGAGCAUUAUCUUUGACCUUUCAAACCAAAAACCUACUGUAUGGACAAGCACAAAUCAUACUACUGUCCUUUGUUUAGAAAUGCUGAGCAUUAUUUUGUUAGUGGGUUUAUAUGGCCUCAACUUCUGCUGCUAUAGUACGUGAGUUUUGUGAUGUGUGUUUGUUAGUCAUUUGACUUUCAUUCGGCACACUUCUCUCUGGUGACCGCUUCCUCUCUGAAUCUUUAUCCCUAAAUUUUCUCUGAAUUUCUUCAGUAUCUUGUACACUGCAAGAUAACAAGUAGAGACAAACUGCAGGGUACCAAGUAGAGACAAACCGCUGCACUGUGGUAUGUAGCCUUCUAUCAAGAUCUGAUUCAGUUUAGAUUUCCCCCCUAGGUCUUGGAGAUAUGAUUUCUGUUACUAUAUUAAUAUAUCAACAUGUUCUAUUUAGAGUUUUCUCCCUAGGCAUUUCGUUUUCUAUCCUUGUUGUCUCCUGCAGAGCGGUGAAUAUGUAUUCCAGAAAUAAGUUCAAUCUGAAUCUAAGAAGAAAAUUACAUUGUUACAUUGUGGCAGUCCUAAUACAGAGGUUUAAACCUGUUUAUUUGUACUAUGCACAUGUAUUAGUCAGUCAAUUUAUUGUUGUUUUAUACUAGAUACUUUGUUUUUUUCAUCUGUAGGCAUUUCUCCUACUACAUAUUCAUAUCUACAAAUGUCUAAUGUGGUUGUGAAUAUGCUAGGUAUGUUGCUGUCCAUCAGAAUCUGCCAUGCCAUAUAGUUGCCAUCAGGAGGGUCGAUGACAAGAACAUGAGUGACAACCUUUGUAGUUAUAUGUUUUGUCUAUGUAAAUUGGAUUGUAUCGGUUCCUAAUCCUAUGGAUGGUUGCAUAUUGAGUGAUUUUGUCAAUAUAUGGUGUAUAUUAUCAUUUCAUGGAGGAUAUUAUAAACUGCUAGGUUCUACAUACCUAUAGAUGGUUGCAUAUUGAGUGAUUUGUGUAACA